rnacentral:rRNA from 1 species
AGCGGCGAACGGCUGAGUAACGCGUGGGAAUGUGCCCCAAAGUGAGGAAUAACUGCCCGAAAGGGUAGCUAAUGCCGCAUAUGAUCUUCGGAUUAAAGGAUUUAUCCGCUUUGGGAGCAGCCCGCGUACGAUUAGAUUGUUGGUGAGGUAAAAGCUCACCAAGUCGACGAUCGUUAGCUGGUCUGAGAGGAUGACCAGCCAGACUGGAACUGAGACACGGUCCAGACUCC